UACAUAGGGGGCGAGCGUUGUCCGGAUUUACUGGGCGUAAAGAGCUCGUAGGCGGUUUGCCAAGUUAGAAGUGAAAUCUCCAGGUUUAACCUGGAGCGGCCUUUUAAAACUGGUAUGACUUGAGUAUGGUAGAGGAGUGUGGAAUUCCCGGUGUAGCGGUGAAAUGCGCAGAUAUCGGGAGGAACACCUAUGGCGAAGGCAGCACUCUGGGCCAAAACUGACGCUGAGGAGCGAAAGCGUGGGGAGCGAACAGG
rnacentral:rRNA from 1 species